rnacentral:snRNA from 1 species
UUUUUAACGAUACAGAGAUUAGCAUGGCCCCUGUGCAAGGAUGACAUGCAAAUUCAUGAAGCAUUCCAUAUUUUU